rnacentral:lncRNA from 1 species
GCCAAGUUACAUAUAUAACUUGUCGCAAUCCGACACACGGAUUAAAAGUUACAAACGUUUUAAAAUAUACAUCUUUUUGAAAUCCCUAGUAGUAGAUAAAAUCGCCGAACUCGAAAAAAACUAAUAUUGGCUGAAACUAGUGGCGCAAUAUAGUUCUUCUGUGCCUCGGGCGCAAUAAAACAGAGGUGGGGCUGGAGCUCACCCAAGUGGCCAUGGGCCGGCUCGAUGGGGCUUGCGAGGCCUCCGCUGGCUGGAGCUGGGCCGACUUCGGCUAGGGCGCUGCUGGUCCGGGAUGCCAAGCUGGCCCAGGAGCAGGGCAAGCCCCACGCAAUAGAGGUCUGGAGAGAUGCUCGUUGACAGAGCGGUUCCUGCUCGUUGCAGAGGAAACAUGCGCAGUCAACGGCGACUCCAUGCGAGGGAGGUCCGACAGGGCACGACCAGCGAAUAUGGCGGGGAUGGGUCGGGGGCGUACAAAGCCGGUCGGGGGCGAGGUGAGGCGGAGCUUUCGGCAAGGACGACGGCUGCUCGAGUCCAUUUGGGCAGACAUGGAGUUCAUGGAUGCCAUGGUUGUUCCUGAACAACAGAGAAGAAAGGGAGAGCAGGGAGGUUAGAAAGACAGGAAUGAUGGAAAGCAAGGAGAGGGGCAGAUGCUCAAGGCUGUUGUGACCUGGUGGUGGCGCUCGCCGAUGCUACUCCGAUCCAACCUGGAUCGAGGCUAGAGAAGAGGGGAACGAGGCGCUCGGCCUUACGGGGAUGUUGGUCGCUGCAUCGAGGAGGCCUCCCAUUCGCCCGAUCUAACCACACACGGCCAGGAUUGCUGGAUCUAACUAACCCGCGUUGGCUGGUUGAAUGAAGUUGUGGCG